rnacentral:rRNA from 1 species
CAGUCGCCACGGUAACACGUAGGGUGCGAGCGUUAAUCGGAAUUACUGGGCGUAAAGCGUGCGCAGGCGGUUGUGUAAGACAGGUGUGAAAUCCCCGGGCUUAACCUGGGAACUGCGCUUGUGACUGCACAGCUAGAGUAUGGCAGAGGGGGGCGGAAUUCCACGUGUAGCAGUGAAAUGCGUAGAGAUGUGGAGGAACACCGAUGGCGAAGGCAGCCCCCUGGGCCAAUACUGACGCUCAUGCACGAAAGCGUGGGGAGCAAACAGGAUUAGAUACCCCUGUAGUCCCUGUCUCUUAUAA